rnacentral:rRNA from 1 species
UACGUAGGGACCGAGCGUUGUCCGGAUUCAUUGGGCGUAAAGGGCUCGUAGGCGGCUGCUCAAGUCGAAUGUGAAAACUCGAGGCUCAACCUCGAGCCUGCAUUCGAUACUGGGCGGCUAGAGUCUGGUAGGGGGAUCUGGAAUUCCUGGUGUAGCGGUGGAAUGCGCAGAUAUCAGGAGGAACACCGAUAGCGAAGGCAGCUCGCUGGGACGGUACUGACGCUGAGGCGCGAAAGCGUGGGGAGCGAACAGG